AUUAUCAUUAAUACGAGCGGAUGAAGUCAACCACAUUUAGUUUAGAUUACAAAGUAUUACCGAUAUGACAUAAAGAGAUAUGCAGAGAUAAAAUACUGUUUCAAAUAUUAGUCAUGUAGUGCGCAUUAUCAAGUCUACAUGUAUUAGGUGAGGUGAUUUAUUAGUUAACGAUCGUAUACAACGAGAUCGAUGUUAAAAGUAAAUGGACUUUUCACCAUCCGUCGUUUUUUUUCUUUCACAAGCUAACAACGAGUCAACGAGUAACCAAUUCUCUCGACGAUAGUUGCAAAACUAGGCCGGUCUUCAGGGCGUGGAUGCCAACAUCGUGUCAUUAAUCCAUAAAUAGGAUCAGGGCAUCCUGCAGGUUUUUCUAAACGACCCCCUAACGUUACCAUUGUCAUAGCCUCUCUAUUAGUACAACCAGUGUAAGUUUCAAACAAAUUUUAUUUACAUUCAUAAAUAUUCCUUGAGAAUAUUUUUAAUCUAUCUUGAUCAAUUAAUGGACUCUUAAAAAAUUUGAUUCUUUUAACAAAAUAAACAUUUGUUCACAAUUUGUUAACAAUAUUUCUCGCAUUCUACAUAUAAACAGAAGUUGUUCCGUAAUUCAAGAUGAAACUCACCAAACAUCAGUUUUCGUAGUGAAUAUCCCAUCUAGAAAACUUUCUGGUGGCAUCCAUUUAAUCGGUAACAUCGCCUUGCCUCCUUUUCUAUAAUAAUCGCUCCUAUAGAUAUCCUUUGCCAUGCCGAAAUCAGCGAUUUUCACUAUACGACCGGGUCCCUUGGACGUGAGCAAACAAUUUCUCGCGGCGAUAUCUCGAUGAAUAAAUCGGGCCUCUUCCAUAUAUUUGCAACCGUUCGCUACGUCAAAUCCGCACAUUAUCAAAUCCUGCAUCCUCAACGAAGUGGGCCGAUCCUGCCAAAACAGGAAUAUACGCAUGCACCCCAUUGAUGACGAGCGGCAAAAAUUAAGAGUUGACCCUGUUUAAAUUGCAAUCGAGAAACGACACAUAGUUAACAAAAAGUAAUGGAACUUAAUAGAAAAAUUAAUAAACAUAAGCCUUUUGGAUGAUGUAAAAUUAUGAAAUAAGGGAACGAAAAUGGAAACAACUUAAUUUAUUAAGUUCAAAUAAAUAAAACGUAAGAUUAUUUUAAUCGUAAAGUAAUAUACAGAAAUAAUUAGAGAUUUAGAA